AGCCUGCCGCGUGUAUGAAGAAGGCCUUCGGGUUGUAAAGUACUUUCAGCGGGGAGGAAGGCGAUGUGGUUAAUAACCUUGUCGAUUGACGUUACCCGCAGAAGAAGCACCGGCUAACUCCGUGCCAGCAGCCGCGGUAAUACGGAGGGUGCAAGCGUUAAUCGGAAUUACUGGGCGUAAAGCGCACGCAGGCGGUCUGUCAAGUCGGAUGUGAAAUCCCCGGGCUCAACCUGGGAACUGCAUUCGAAACUGGCAGGCUUGAGUCUCGUAGAGGGGGGUAGAAUUCCAGGUGUAGCGGUGAAAUGCGUAGAGAUCUGGAGGAA
rnacentral:rRNA from 1 species